rnacentral:rRNA from 1 species
UAGAGUUAGAAAUCUGGGACCUGGCUCAGAUUGAACGCUGGCGGCAGCCCUAACACAUGCAAGUCGAGCGGAUGAAAGGAGCUUGUUCCUGGAUUCAGCGGCGGACGGGUGAGUAAUACCUAGGAAUGUGCCCGGUAGUGGGGGACAACGUUUCGAAAGGAACGCUAAUACCGCAUACGUCCUACGGGAGAAAGCAGGGGACCUUCGGGCCUUUCGCUAUCAGAUGAGCCUAGGUCGGAUUAGCUAGUUGGUGAGGUAAUGGCUCACCAAGGCGACGAUCCGUAACUGGUCUGAGAGGAUGAUCAGUCACACUGGAACUGAGACACGGUCCAGACUCCUACGGGAGGCAGCAGUGGGGAAUAUUGGACAAUGGGCGAAAGCCUGAUCCACCCUUGCCGCGUGUGUGAAGAAGGUCUUCGGAUUGUAAAGCCCUUUAAGUUGGGAGGAAGGGUUGUAGAUUAAUACUCUGCAAUUUGACGUACCGACAGAAAGCCCUUCU